UGCAUGCCAAGACAAGCCUGUGAAUUUAUAUGGCUAAAUAAAAUAAGUCAGUGAAAUGAAAAAAAUUCCUAUCUUUCUGACUAUGCUUUGUUUACCAAGUGACCCAACUUUUAGUAUAAGUAGAGGUGAAAGAGUUACAAGUACUUGACCAGUACGUAACCAGCUAUAGAAAACAAGAGACCAUGGCCAGAGGGAAUACAACUGUGACUUGUCUCAUGUGGCUUUCACUGGUUUUAUCAAUUGCUUUGUGCGCGAAUGCAACGGCCGGUGCUCGCCAGGGAACAUUCCAACAAGCCGUUUAUCCCCAAGGCUGCCGUUGCUGCUUUUUCGUUGGGAAACAGUUCAUGCUUCGAUGUGGCAAAGUAUGUUGCGGUGAUGAUUGUUGUUUUUAGAAACGAGACACCAAUUUCUCCCUACUCCCAAUUGCAUGUACUCCAAAAAAUACUGAAAUUGGACUGCUGUGAUAAUAAUUAAUGUAAUAUGUUAGGUCUGAAUUGUCAUUCCCCCAGAAUGCACAUCCAUAUUCGUAUGUUUUCCUCAAUAAGAAUGUAAACCUUACUCUACAUUCUUUACAAUCAACAAAUAAAGUUUUAUCUUUG